GAUGCAGGUUCCCAGGUACUGCUACAAGGCUGAUGGAGAAAGGGAUGGCAACAGGAGCGUCAGACAAAGAAGCUCAUUCUAUAGACCCAGCAGGGCCAGCACUGACCAACAGAUGGCAAGUGGUUGACACCAGGAAGGCUUUGUCAGAUAGAAUCUUACCUCCCUGGCCCCCAGAAAUCCGGUGUUCUUAAGGGAUAUGGAUGAUCAGAAAUUAUUUGUUAAGAGGGAAAACCCAUUCCAAGCAGCUUCAUAAGAUAUAAUCCCAUCUUCAUAUUUUAAUGCCUUCCGUCUAUUAGGCAAUUUUACAAAGCUGGAGACAGGAAUGAGCAUUAUUCUCCAGAUACCUAAAGUGAGCUAUGGCCAUCUACUCACUAAGCAAACUGCUGAGUGCUGUAGCCACAGUGCAAAGCAGCUCAUGCACGCACUGGAAUUGAUCAACACCUGCUAAGUGUCAUAUAUAUGUUUUCAUCAAUUACUUUAGAAAUAUUUAUCAGUAUAGUUUAAUUUUUUUCCUUUUUUUUUUGAGACAGAGUCAUGCUCUGUCAUACCAGGCUGAUCGGUAUUGGUGCAAUCACAGCUCACUGUAGCCUCAGCCUCCUGGGCUCAAGUGAUCCUCCUACCUCAGCUACCCAAGCAGCUGGGACUACAGGCACGUGCCACCAAGCCCCACUAAUUUUUGUAUUUUCUGUAGAGACAGGGUUUCACCAUGUUGCCCAGGUUGGUCUUGAACUCCUGGACUCAAGUGAUCUGCCGGUCUUGGCCUCCCAAAGUGCUGAGAUUACAGGCAUGAAGCCAGUAUAGUUUAAUUUUUAAAGAUACACUAGAAGAUACAAGAUGGACCUAAUAUCUAAGGACAGCAUCUCCAUGCCAGGGACAGUGGCACUUCACAUUUCACAUGCAUUAUUUCAUUAAAACAGCACCAUCACCUCGGGAGGCAGGUUCAUUCUCUCUCUAGACAGGCUCGAGAAUGGAGACAGAAAAUGGAGGUAACUUGCCCAAGGCCACUCUGUAGACCAGGCAAUUUGAAAGGAAGAGAGGAUUUAGGCGCCAUACUCAAGGUUACCUGGGUAAGAAAUGAUGGAGCAAGAAUGUCACCCAUGGGACCACACCCCUGAAUCUAUAAAUUGGAGUGUUUCUGCAAAUUCUAAGAGGUUCUUAACAUUAUCCAGAAUGGUGCCCUGGUGGACGAUCAUGCACCUUGCUGGCGAGGCGCUUUCUUC